rnacentral:rRNA from 1 species
UGGGGAAUAUUGCGCAAUGGGGGAAACCCUGACGCAGCGACGCCGCGUGAGCGAAGAAGGCCUUAGGGUUGUAAAGCUCUGUUUUAGGGGACGAAUGUCACGAUCAGUAAUAUGGGUUGUGAAUGACGGUACCCUAAGAGGAAGCCCCGGCUAACUACGUGCCAGCAGCCGCGGUAAGACGUAGGGGGCGAGCGUUGUCCGGAAUUACUGGGCGUAAAGAGCACGUAGGCGGAGACUUAAGUCAGGUGUGAAAGACCGGGGCUCAACCCCGGGGUUGCACUUGAAACUGGGUCCCUUGAGGGCAGGAGAGGAAAGCAGAAUUCCUGGUGUAGCGGUGAAAUGCGUAGAAAUCAGGAGGAAUACCAGUGGCGAAGGCGGCUUUCUGGACUGACCCUGACGCUGAGGUGCGAAAGCGUGGGUAGCAAACAGG